rnacentral:piRNA from 1 species
UGCUUAUGAGUGGCACAUGCUACACAGAGAA